GGGUUGUGAGGUUAAGCGACUAAGCGUACACGGUGGAUGCCCUGGCAGUCAGAGGCGAUGAAGGACGUGCUAAUCUGCGAUAAGCGUCGGUAAGGUGAUAUGAACCGUUAUAACCGGCGAUUUCCGAAUGGGGAAACCCAGUGUGAUUCGUCACACUAUCAUUAACUGAAUCCAUAGGUUAAUGAGGCGAACCGGGGGAACUGAAACAUCUAAGUACCCCGAGGAAAAGAAAUCAACCGAGAUUCCCCCAGUAGCGGCGAGCGAACGGGGAGGAGCCCAGAGUCUGAAUCAGUGUGUGUGUUAGUGGAAGCGUCUGGAAAGGCGCGCGAUACAGGGUGACAGCCCCGUACACAAAAAUGCACAUACUGUGAGCUCGAUGAGUAGGGCGGGACACGUGGUAUCCUGUCUGAAUAUGGGGGGACCAUCCUCCAAGGCUAAAUACUCCUGACUGACCGAUAGUGAACCAGUACCGUGAGGGAAAGGCGAAAAGAACCCCGGCGAGGGGAGUGAAAAAGAACCUGAAACCGUGUACGUACAAGCAGUGGGAGCCUCUUUAUGGGGUGACUGCGUACCUUUUGUAUAAUGGGUCAGCGACUUAUAUUCUGUAGCAAGGUUAACCGAAUAGGGGAGCCGAAGGGAAACCGAGUCUUAACUGGGCGUUAAGUUGCAGGGUAUAGACCCGAAACCCGGUGAUCUAGCCAUGGGCAGGUUGAAGGUUGGGUAACACUAACUGGAGGACCGAACCGACUAAUGUUGAAAAAUUAGCGGAUGACUUGUGGCUGGGGGUGAAAGGCCAAUCAAACCGGGAGAUAGCUGGUUCUCCCCGAAAGCUAUUUAGGUAGCGCCUCGUGAAUUCAUCUCCGGGGGUAGAGCACUGUUUCGGCAAGGGGGUCAUCCCGACUUACCAACCCGAUGCAAACUGCGAAUACCGGAGAAUGUUAUCACGGGAGACACACGGCGGGUGCUAACGUCCGUCGUGAAGAGGGAAACAACCCAGACCGCCAGCUAAGGUCCCAAAGUCAUGGUUAAGUGGGAAACGAUGUGGGAAGGCCCAGACAGCCAGGAUGUUGGCUUAGAAGCAGCCAUCAUUUAAAGAAAGCGUAAUAGCUCACUGGUCGAGUCGGCCUGCGCGGAAGAUGUAACGGGGCUAAACCAUGCACCGAAGCUGCGGCAGCGACACUAUGUGUUGUUGGGUAGGGGAGCGUUCUGUAAGCCUGCGAAGGUGUACUGUGAGGUAUGCUGGAGGUAUCAGAAGUGCGAAUGCUGACAUAAGUAACGAUAAAGCGGGUGAAAAGCCCGCUCGCCGGAAGACCAAGGGUUCCUGUCCAACGUUAAUCGGGGCAGGGUGAGUCGACCCCUAAGGCGAGGCCGAAAGGCGUAGUCGAUGGGAAACAGGUUAAUAUUCCUGUACUUGGUGUUACUGCGAAGGGGGGACGGAGAAGGCUAUGUUGGCCGGGCGACGGUUGUCCCGGUUUAAGCGUGUAGGCUGAUUUUCCAGGCAAAUCCGGAAAAUCAAGGCUGAGGCGUGAUGACGAGGCACUACGGUGCUGAAGCAACAAAUGCCCUGCUUCCAGGAAAAGCCUCUAAGCAUCAGGUAACAUCAAAUCGUACCCCAAACCGACACAGGUGGUCAGGUAGAGAAUACCAAGGCGCUUGAGAGAACUCGGGUGAAGGAACUAGGCAAAAUGGUGCCGUAACUUCGGGAGAAGGCACGCUGAUAUGUAGGUGAAGCGACUUGCUCGUGGAGCUGAAAUCAGUCGAAGAUACCAGCUGGCUGCAACUGUUUAUUAAAAACACAGCACUGUGCAAACACGAAAGUGGACGUAUACGGUGUGACGCCUGCCCGGUGCCGGAAGGUUAAUUGAUGGGGUUAGCGGUAACGCGAAGCUCUUGAUCGAAGCCCCGGUAAACGGCGGCCGUAACUAUAACGGUCCUAAGGUAGCGAAAUUCCUUGUCGGGUAAGUUCCGACCUGCACGAAUGGCGUAAUGAUGGCCAGGCUGUCUCCACCCGAGACUCAGUGAAAUUGAACUCGCUGUGAAGAUGCAGUGUACCCGCGGCAAGACGGAAAGACCCCGUGAACCUUUACUAUAGCUUGACACUGAACAUUGAGCCUUGAUGUGUAGGAUAGGUGGGAGGCUUUGAAGUGUGGACGCCAGUCUGCAUGGAGCCGACCUUGAAAUACCACCCUUUAAUGUUUGAUGUUCUAACGUUGGCCCCUGAUCGGGGUUGCGGACAGUGUCUGGUGGGUAGUUUGACUGGGGCGGUCUCCUCCUAAAGAGUAACGGAGGAGCACGAAGGUUGGCUAAUCCUGGUCGGACAUCAGGAGGUUAGUGCAAUGGCAUAAGCCAGCUUGACUGCGAGCGUGACGGCGCGAGCAGGUGCGAAAGCAGGUCAUAGUGAUCCGGUGGUUCUGAAUGGAAGGGCCAUCGCUCAACGGAUAAAAGGUACUCCGGGGAUAACAGGCUGAUACCGCCCAAGAGUUCAUAUCGACGGCGGUGUUUGGCACCUCGAUGUCGGCUCAUCACAUCCUGGGGCUGAAGUAGGUCCCAAGGGUAUGGCUGUUCGCCAUUUAAAGUGGUACGCGAGCUGGGUUUAGAACGUCGUGAGACAGUUCGGUCCCUAUCUGCCGUGGGCGCUGGAGAACUGAGGGGGGCUGCUCCUAGUACGAGAGGACCGGAGUGGACGCAUCACUGGUGUUCGGGUUGUCAUGCCAAUGGCACUGCCCGGUAGCUAAAUGCGGAAGAGAUAAGUGCUGAAAGCAUCUAAGCACGAAACUUGCCCCGAGAUGAGUUCUCCCUGACUCCCUGAGAGUCCUGAAGGAACGUUGAAGACGACGACGUUGAUAGGCCGGGUGUGUAAGCGCAGCGAUGCGUUGAGCUAACCGGUACUAAUGAACCGUGAGGCUUAACCUUACAACGCCGAAG
rnacentral:rRNA from 1 species